rnacentral:rRNA from 1 species
GUAGUCUGCAACCCGACUACAUGAAGCUGGAAUCGCUAGUAAUCGCGGAUCAGAAUGCCGCGGUGAAUACGUUCCCGGGUCUUGUACACACCGCCCGUCACACCAUGGGAGUCGGAAAUGCCCGAAGUCUGUGACCCAACCUGCAAGGGGAGGGAGCAGCCGAAGGCAGGUCGGAUGACUGGGGUGAAGUCGUAACAAGGUAGC